rnacentral:lncRNA from 1 species
AAUAUGUACCACAUCUUCUUUAUCCACUCAUCUGUUGAUGGAUAUUUAGGUUGAUUCCAUGUUUUAGCUAGUGUAUAUAGUGCUGCAAUGAACAUUGGAGUGUAUGUAUCUUUUCAAGUCAUGGUUUUAUAUGGAUUAUGGUAACUCUAUUUUUAGUUUUCUGAGGAAUAUUCAUCCUGUUUUCCACAGUUAUUGCAUCAAUUUACAUUCCCACUAACAGUGUAAGAGGGUUCCCUUUUCCCAACUAUCUCUCCAGCAUUUAUUUUUUGUAGGCUUUUUAAUGAUGGCCAUUCUGUUGGUGUAAUGCAUCAUAGUAGUUUUGAUGCAUUUCACUAAUAAUUAAUGAUGUUGAGCAUAUUUUCAUGAAUUUUUGGCCAUCUGUAUGUCUUCGUUGGAGAAGUGUCUGCUUAGAUCUUCUGCAAAUUUUUUGAUGGGGCCGUUUGUUUUCUGGUAUUGAGCUGCAGGAGGUGUUUAUAUAAUUUGGAACUUAAUCCCUUGUCAGUCUCUUUAUUUGAAAUAUUUUCUCCCAUGCUGGAUGUUGUCUUUUCAUUUUGUUUAGGGUUUCCAUUGCUGUACAAAAGAUUUUACGUUUAAUUAGGUCCCAUUUGAUUAUUUUUAUUUUUAUUGUCAUUAUUCUAGGAGGUGGAUCUGAUAAGAUAUUGCUGUGAUUUAUGUCAGAGAUUGUUCAGCCUAUGUUUUCCUCUGAGUAUUUUUAGUAUCCUUUCUUAUAUUUAGGUCUUUAACACAUUUUGAGUACAUUUUUGUGUACAGCGUUAGUGAGUGUUCUAAUUUAAUUAUUUACAUGUAGCUGUCCAUUUUCCCCAGCACCACUUACUGAAGGGACUGUCUUUUCUCCAUUGUUCUUGCAUCCUUUGAAGUAGAUUAGUUGACUCUAGGUGUAUGGGUUUAAUUUUGGGCUUUAUAUCAUGUUCCACUGAUAUAUAUUUCUGUUUAUGUGCCAGAAUCAUUAUGUUUUGAUGACUGUAGCAUUGCAGUAUAGUCUGAAGUCAUGAAGCCUGAUUCCUCCAGUUCCAUUUAUUUUCUCAGCAUUUCUUUGGCUACUCUGGGUCCUUUGGCCUUCCAAACAAACUUUAGAUGAUUGUGUUCUAUGGGGGAUUCUGAAAAUGGGAGAGUAGCAGGAUAUGAGGCUCACCUACUCCCACAAAUAUAUUGAAAAUACAACUACAUGUGGAAAUAUUCACACAGAGAGUUUGCAAGGAACUGACAAAAGACUUCAGGAUUAUAUAGAGCAAGACAAAUUUUACAAAACCAGAUAGCACAUGAGAAAGUAAAAAGGGAGUUCCUGUCACGGUGCAGUGGAAAUUAAUCCAACUAGGAAUCAUGAUUUUGCAGGUUGGAUCCCUGGCCCCACUCAGUGGGUUAAGGAUCCAGCAUUGCCAUGAGCUGUGGUGUAGGUUGCAGACGUGGCUUGGAUCUGGCAUUUCUGUGGCAUAGAAUAGACUGGCAGAAACAGCUCUGAUUAGACUCAUAGCCUGGGAAAUUCCAUAUGCUGCAGGUGUGGCCCAAAACAGACAAAAGACAAAAAAAAGUGAAAAGAAGAACAAGAGAAAAAGAAGCAAAAGGAAGUGGGAUGGGACCUGCUCCCCAGGAGGGAGCUGGAAAGAGAAAUAGUUCCUGCACCCCAGAAAGUUCCACCACCAGCAAGCAGAUCCACCAAAAAAUGGAGGAGGAACUCUAGACAAACAGUGUGAAGCAAUAAAAAGGUGACAGUCUUCCACAAAUAGUCACUGCUAUUGGCAAUGCACAAGCAUAGGCUGGUGCUACCAGGUGUUGGGAAUUUAAAAUCUGGCCUAAGAGAUAAAACCCAAACAGGGAGCUGAGGCUGGCUACAUGGGAAAAAAUAAACAGGGAUUGUCUUGAGGAAGCAGCCUGGAAGCACUAAAGUAUUUUUUUAAUUAAUUGAUUUAUUUUUCCACUGUACAGCAUGGAGCCCAAAAUACACUUACAUGUAUACAUUUUUUUCCACCCUUCAUUCUGUUACACUAUAAGUAUCUAGACAUAGUUCUCAAUGCUAUUCAGCAGGAUCCCAUUGUAAAUCCAUUCCAAGUUGUAUCUGAUAACCCCAAGCUCCCAAUCACUCCCACUCCAUCCCUCUCCCCCCCGGGGGCGGCCAGGUCCAUGAUUUUCUUUUCUUUGGAAAUGUUCAAUUGCGCUGUAUAUUAGAUUCCAGUUAUAAGUGAAAUCUUAUGGUGUUUGUCUUUGUCUUUAUGACUCAUUUAACUAACUAUGAGAAUCUCUAGUUCCACCCAUGUUGCUAUAAAUGGUAUUAUGUUGUUCUGUUUUAUGGCUGACUAGUAUUCCAUUGUGUAUACAUAUCACGUCUUCUGAAUCCAAUCAUCUGUCGAUGGACAUUUAGGUUGUUUCCAUGUCUUGGCUGUUGUGAAUAGCGCUGCAAUGAACAUGAGGGUGCAUGUGUCUCUUUUAGGUAGAGUUUGUCCGGAUAUAUACCCAAGAGUGGGAUUUCGGGGAGAUAUGGAAGUUUUAUGUAUAGAUUUCUAAGAUAUCUCCAAACUGUUCUCCAUAGUGGCUGUACCAGGUUACAUUCCCACCAGCAGUGCAGGAGGGUUCCCUUUUCUCCACACCCCCUCCAGCACUUCCUAUUUGUGGACUUAUGAAAGAUGGCUAUUCUGACUGUUGUGAGGUGGUAUGUCAUGGUAGUUUUGAUUUGCAUUUCUCUUAUAAUCAGCGAUGUUGAACAUUUUUUCAUGGGCUUGUUGGCCAUCUGUAUAUCUUCUUUGGAGAAAUGUCUAAUCAGGUCUUUCACCCAUUUUUCCAUUGGUUGAUUGGCUUUUUUGCUGUUGAGUUGUAUAAGCUGCUAGUAUAUUAUAGAUUAAGCCCUUGUCGGUUGCAUCAUUUGAAACUGUUUUCUCCCAUUCUGAAAGUUGUCUCUUUGUUUUCUUUUUGGUUUCCUUUGCUGUGCAAAAGCUUUUCAGUUUGAUGAGGUCCCAUGGGAUUAUUUUUGCUCUAAUUUCUAUUGCUUUGGGAGACUGACCUGAGAAAAUAUUUAUGAAGUUGAUUUCAGAGAGUGUUUUGCCUAUGUUUUCUUCUAGGAGUUUGAUGGUAUCUUAUAUUUAUAUUUAAGUCUUUCAGCAUUUUGAGUUUAUUUUUGUGCAUGGUGUGAGGGUGUGUUCGAAUUUCAUUGCUUUGCAUGCAGCUGUCCAGGUUUCCCAGCAAUGCUUGCUGAAUAGACUUUCUUUUUCCCAUUUGAUGUUCUUGCCUCCCUUGUCAAAGCUUAAUUGACCAUAUGUGUCAGGGUUUAUUUCUGGGUUCGCUCUUCUGUUCCAUUGGUCUGUCUGUCUGUUUUGAUACCAGUACCACACUGUUUUGAUGACUGUGGCUUUGUAGUAUUUCUUGAAGUCUGGGAGAGUAAUGCCCCCUUCUUGGUUUUUGUUUCUCUGGAUUGCUUUGGCAAUUCUGGGUCUUUUGUUGUUCCAUAUAAAUGUUUGGAUUGUUUGUUCUAGUUCUGUGAAAAAUGUUGUGGGUAAUUGAUAAGGGAUUGCAUUGACUCUGUAGAUUGCUUUGGGUAGCAUGGCCAUUUUUAAAAUAUUGAUUUUUCCAACCCAGGAGCAUGGCAUAUCUUUCCAUUUCUUUACAUCUUCUUUGAUUUCUUUGAUUAAAGUUUUAUAGUUCUCAGCAUAUAAGUCCUUUACCUCUUUGGUCAGGUGUAUUCCGAGGUAUUUGAUUUUGUGACAUGCAAUUUUAAAAGGUAUUGUAUUUUUGUAUUCCUUUUCUAAUAUUUCAUUGUUAGUAUACAGAAAUGUGACUGAUUUCUGAAUGUUAUUCUUAUAUCCUGCUACUUUGCUGAAUUUAUUAAUCAGUUCAAGUAGUUUUGGUGUUGAGUCCUUAGGGUUUUCUGUGUAUAGUAUCAUGUUGUCUGCAUACAGUGACAGUUUUAUCUCUUCUCUUCCUAUUUUGAUGACUUUCAUUUUUUUAUUUGCGUAAUCACUGUGGCUAGGACUUCCAAAACUAAGUUGAACAGCAGUGGUGAGAGUGGGCAUCCCUGUCUUCUUCCAGAUUUCAGUGAGAAGGCUUUCAGUUUUUCUCCAUUGAGUAUUAUAUUUGCUGGGGGUUUGUCAUAAAUGGCUUUGAUUAUGUUCAGGAAUGUUCCCUCUAAACCCACUUUGGCGAGGGUCUUGAUCAUGAAUGGAUGUUGGACUUUGUCAAAUGCAUUUUCUGCGUCUAUUGCGAUGAUCAUGUGGGUUUUGACUUUUCUGUUGUUAAUGUGGUGUAUGACAUUGAUUGAUUUGCAUAUGUUGAACCAUCCUUGUGAACCUGGGAUGAACCCUACCUGGUCAUGGUGUAUAAUUUGUUUGGUAUGUUGUUGGAUUCGGUUGGCUAAGAUUUUUUGAGAAUUUUUGCAUCUAUAUUCAUCAAAGAUACUGGCGAAUAGUUUUCUUUUUUGGUGGUGUCUUUGUUUUGGAAUGAGGGUGAUGGUGGCAUCAUAGAAUGUCUUUGGGAGUGUUCCUUCUUCUUCAACCUUCUGAAAAAGUUUAAGGAGGAUGAGCACCAGAUCCUCUUUGUAUGUUUGGUAGAAUUCGCCUCUGCAGCCAUCUGGUCCUGGACUUUUCUUUGUAGGGAGUGUUUUUAUGACUUCUUCGAUUUCAUUUCUAGUGAUCGGUCUGUUCAGUUGGUCUGUUUCUUCUUGAUUCAGUUUUGGCAGGCUGUAAGAUUCUAGAAAAUUGUCCAUUUCUUCCAGAUUGUCAAAUUUGUUGGCAUAUAGUUGUUCAUAGUAUUCUCUUAUGUUUUUUUUUUUUUUUUGUAUUUCUGCAGUAUCUGUUGUGAGUUCUCCUUUUUCAUUUAUAAUUUUGGUUAUUUGGGUUCUUUCUCUCCUCUUCUUAGUGAGUCUAGCUGGGGUUUGUCAAUUUUGACCAGCUUUUGGUUUAUUAAUUUCCUCUAUUGUUUAUUGAAUCUCUAUUUUAUUGAUUUCCUCUUUGAUCUUUAUAAUUUCCUUCAUUCUGCUGACUUUAGGUCUUUUUUUCCUUCUGUUUCUACUUCGUUUAGGUGAAAGGUUAAGUUGUCAAUUUAAGAUUUUUCUUAUUUUUUGAGAAAGGCCUGCACCGCUAUGAUUUUCCCUCUGACCACUGCUAUUGUGGCAUCCCAUAGAUUUUGAGAGGUUGUGUCUUCAUUAUCAUUUGUUUCAAGGUAGUUUUUAAUUUCCUUCUUGAUUUCCUCAUUGACCCAUUGGCUUUUUAGUAGCAUGUUGUUUAGUAUCCAUGUAGUAGGUUUGUUCUCAUUUCUUUUCCUGUGGUUGACUUCUACUUUCAUGCCAUUGUGGUCAGAAAAGUUACUUGAAAUAACUUCUCUGCUUCUAAAUCAGUUGAGGUUAGCUUUGUGUCCCAACAUGUGGUUAAUUCUUGAGAAUAUUCUAUGUGCACUUGAGAAUAAUGUUUAUUCUGAUUUUUUUGGAUGUAGUGUCCUUAAGAUGGCAGUUAAGUCUAACUUUUCUAUUGUUUCCUUUAGGAUCUCUGUUGCUUUAUUGGUUUUCUGUCUAGAGGAUCUGUCCAUUGAUAUGAGCAGAGUAUUAAAGUCUCCUAAUGAUUGUAUUCCCAUUAAUCUCUCCCUUUAUGUGUGUUAAUAUUUGUUGUAUGUAUCUGGAUGCUCCUGUAUUUGGGGCAUAUAUGUUGACAAUAGUAAUAUCCUCUUCUUGGAUGGAUCCCUUAAUCAUUAAAUAGUGUCCUUCUUUGUCUUUCUUUAUGUCUUUUGUUUUAAAGUCUAUUUUGUCUGAUAUGAGUAUUGCAACUCCUGCUUUCCUGUCAUGUCUAUUGGCAUGAAAUAUUUUUCCCACCCCUUCACUUUCAACCUAUAUGUGUCCUUUGUCCUAAGGUGGGUUUCUUGUAGGCAGCAUAUUUAAGGUUUUUCCUUUUUUAUCCACUCAGCGACUCUGUGUCUUUUGAUUGGAACAUUCAGUCCAUUGACUUUUAAGGUGAUAAUUGAUACAUGAUUAUUUAGUGCCAUUUUAAACCUCCUUUUCCAGUUGAUUCUAUGAUUCUCCAUUCUUCCUUUCUUUUUUUGGAUGGAUGGUCUCCAAUUAUUUUCUGCUUGAGUUGUUUUCUUUUCAUUUUUUGCAAAUGGAAUGUUUGGUUUUGAUUUGUGGUUGUCCUGUUUUUAACGAAUUCUAACCACUUCCUAUAAUCAUGUGUUUUAUCCUGAUGUUCCUGUAGUUUCAAACACUUCAUUACUAUACUAAAAUUAAGAAGAGAAACAG